rnacentral:tRNA from 1 species
GAGGGCGUAGUGUAAUGGUUAGCACGCCUCCCUGUCACGGAGGUAGAGGGGUUCGAAUCCCACGUUCUCG